GUCGUCAGCUCGUGUCGUGAGAUGUUGGGUUAAGUCCCGCAACGAGCGCAACCCUCGCCUCUAGUUGCCAGCAUUCGGUUGGGCACUCUAGAGGGACUGCCGGCGACAAGUCGGAGGAAGGUGGGAUGACGUCAAAUCAUCAUGCCCCUUAUGACCUGGGCUACACACGUGCUACAAUGGGCGGUACAAAGGGCUGCGAACCCGCGAGGGGGAGCGAAUCCCAAAAAGCCGCUCUCAGUUCGGAUUGCAGGCUGCAACUCGCCUGCAUGAAGCCGGAAUCGCUAGUAAUCGCGGAUCAGCAUGCCGCGGUGAAUACGUUCCCGGGCCUU
rnacentral:rRNA from 1 species